rnacentral:ncRNA from 1 species
UGCCAGUUGUCACAUCAGUGGCAGUGCUGGGUAGCUACGCUGGUAACUGAGAAGCGCUGAAAGCAUCUAAGCGCCAAACAGGCCCCAAGACUAGAUAUCUUAGACCCGUUGUAGACUACGACGUCGCCCGUAUGGGCGCCCUGUACCAUUUGGUACAGGGGAUAGGCACCAAGUGUAAAGACAGUAAUGU